AAUAAAAGAAGACAUCAGAAUUCACUCAAUAUUAUUUCAUGGGUACACCUUUUGAAAACUGGCUGAGCUAAUGCACAAUGUUAGAAUACGGGUUGCAUUUGCACUUGCUGGGAUGGUGACAGGAAGAAGGCAAAAAGAUGAGCUUCUAGGGUGCUGUUAAAUAUGGGACCAAGUUGACAUAUUAGUGUUUGUUACGGACUCAUAGACACUUCUGCUUCUGGACUCAAAAGGUACCUGAACUGAUAUGAAUUCAUAGCAUGUGGAAAAUAUUGGAGCGUCUGGCUGACAUUACCUAAUUUUGGUAUGACAAUAGGAUGUGACUACCAAUAACCAGUAUAUCCGCCCCAGCCAUCCUGGUCAUCUUCUUUGGUACAUGUGUUUCAAGGCUUGGGGACCAUUUUGUGGAUAUUUUAUAAAAACUCUGAUGUGUGAGUGGAAUUUUAAAUGGCUCAAUACCUUUAUUUAUUAAUCUAUGCAUUAAUUUAUUUUCUUCUUUCAUUCAUUUAACAAACAACAAUUAGUAAUAAAUGAGUCUCUAAGAUAUGUGAUGCUAUCUUUGUGCUGUGGAGACAGAGAUGAUUAAGGCAUUGCCCUGAAUCUCAGCAGAGUCCUGUUUUAAUAGGGGUGAGACAGGUAAGUGGAUAACUAUAAUACACAGUGGUGGAGAAUAAUAAAAAUCUGGUGUUGAUGCUAAUUUGAGAUCACAAAGUAAUGGUAUCUAAA
rnacentral:lncRNA from 1 species